UUUUUAAAUCACAUUGAUUGAUUGAUUUGAAAGACCCCCAGAGUGGGGAGACCCUCAGUCAAGUCUUGGGAUGAUGCGACCCCCCAAGAACUCAUGAGAGACC
rnacentral:pre_miRNA from 14 species